CCACCGAUAGCUGAGAUGGAUUAGCGCUUGCCUGAAAAGCUCGAGAGACUGGAUCGUUACCAGUUUGGUGGACCA
rnacentral:tRNA from 2 species